rnacentral:tRNA from 1 species
GCCAGAGUGGUGUAAUGGUAGCCACGAGGGACUUAAAAUCCCUUUUCCGCAAGGAAGUACGGGUUCGAGUCCCGUCUCUGGUACCA